ensembl:lncRNA
AUAGCUUUGAUGGCAUUGUCUAAGAGGGGGUCUCUGUGACCUGGAAGGGAAAGUUGGAGGUGGCUGAGGAUCCUGCAGCGUGUACGCAGGCCUGGCAGAAUAGAAGAAGAGUCCUGGGAUAGGAUUUCCACUCGGCAACAAAUCAAGACUUCAUCACUACCCACAGAUCGCGGUUCUGCAGAACUUUGAUGGGGACAAUAAACACCAUCCAAAUGCCUGUGAUGAGUUUUUCGGGACAUCUGUGAACUGAAGCUGCAGAAAUAAACCCCAAACUAGCAAUGCACAAGUUUAACCAGCGGGAGAAAACAAAGAUUGCUCUCUCAACAACAACAAUCUGUGUAACUACAGUCCAAAGAGAGAGCUUACAUAACCCGACCACCUCAGACAGUUUGAGAACAAAACGAGGUGUAUUAUGGGACGGUGAGGACACGAGGAGGUCAACUGGACAAGAAUCUCAUCAGUGCAGAUCCAAUUUAGGCGCUCAGAUGGUGGAUGGUGAGCUUACAGCAGCGGG